rnacentral:tRNA from 1 species
AAAUAAGAAGCAAUACAAAUGCGCUUAGUUUCGACCUAAGAAUAUGGUUUAGAACCCUUAUUUU